UGGGGAAUAUUGGACAAUGGGCGGAAGCCUGAUCCAGCAACGCCGCGUGAGGGAUGACGGCCUUCGGGUUGUAAACCUCUUUCAGCACAGGCGAAGCUGCCGCUACGUGUGGUGGUGGUGACGGUAUGUGCAGAAGAAGCACCGGCCAACUACGUGCCAGCAGCCGCGGUAAUACGUAGGGUGCGAGCGUUGUCCGGAAUUAUUGGGCGUAAAGGGCUCGUAGGCGGUUUGUCGCGUCGGGAGUGAAAUCCACUGGCUUAACUGGUGGCUUGCUUUCGAUACGGGCAGACUGGAGGCAUGCAGGGGAGAACGGAAUUCCUGGUGUAGCGGUGAAAUGCGCAGAUAUCAGGAGGAACACCGGUGGCGAAGGCGGUUCUCUGGGCAUGUCCUGACGCUGAGGAGCGAAAGUGUGGGGAGCGAACA
rnacentral:rRNA from 1 species